AUUUAAAAGCCAUCUUUAUUUUACAUCAUGUUGGAUAAACUAAUACAAAUGAAUGUCCAGCACCACAUCCAAUAGUUUUAAUCAUGUGACCAUUUAAUUUGUCCACCAGAGAAGGAGUCAUCACAUUGUCUUCAUUUCCAUUCCCACAUAAUCCAUGCUCAUUCCAUCCCCAUGUUAGUAGUCUCCCUUUAUCUGAAAUUAUACAAUACACAUAUAAACAAGAGGCUCUAAAGA
rnacentral:lncRNA from 1 species